AGAAUAUGCAGCAGUUGUAUGGUGCCCAAAUCUCAAGAAGCACAUCAGUAAACUGGAAAAGGUGCAAAUGCAUGCUACAAAAUGGCUUCCGGAACUGAAAAAACAAGAGUUACGUGGAGAGGCUAGAGGUAUUAAAUAGGUGAAGAAGGAAAAUGUGCAAAUGCAUGCUACAAAAUGGCUUCUGGAACUGUAAAAACAAGAGUUACGAGGAGAGGCUAGAGGUAUUAAUAUGACAAAGCUAAAAGAUAGAAGAAAAAGAGGUGAUAUGCUCACCACUUACAAAAUAAAAAAAAGAAUUGACCAAAUUGACAAGGAGGAAUUCCCGAAACCAGUAACUUCAAAACAAUAGGUCACAGAUUCAAACUAAGGAAACAAAGGUGCCGAAAAAAAUAUUUAAAAGUUUUCUUUAGCAAACAGAGUGGUAGACGGUUGAAACAAGUUAAGCUAAAAGGUGGUGAAGGCUAAAAUCGUCAGUAGUUUCAAAGCGUUAUACGACAAAGAGUACUGGAAAGACCGGACACCACGAGUGUAGCUCUCAUAUCCUGUAACUACACUUAGGUAAUUACACGCACACGCGCACACAUCACGAGGAGUAAGGUAUAUCAACGGAGGAAAAUUGUGGAUACAAUCACUAUAUACAAAAUUGUUUCAGGAGGCGAUAAAGUAAACAAGGAGGAAUUUUUGAAACCUGCAACUUCUUUUCUCAUGGGUUCACGCUAAGGAAACAAAGGUGCCGAGAUAAACGCACGAGUUCGCGUUUGCGAACAGUUAUAGAAGACAAUGAGUCACAAUAACGUGGCUGAAGCCACGUUAUAGAGUGAAUGACCAAGUGACAGAUCGACAAGAGGAAAGGAGACUGAUAAAAGUGACAAGAUCAUUGACAGACUAAAUGCCAGCUUCCACAGAGUAUUACAACUGAACCGGGACAACUCCCACCCAAGUGGCUAAGAGCAACUUCAGGUAAACAACGCUCACCAGCAUAGUUGGGCGCAAGAUCCAUUGGUGCGAGUGUGAAGGUGCUCAGGGUGGUGGAGGUGCCUAUCAUGACAAACACCAGCAGAGCAGACACUACCCACUUGUGGCAUCCUGCCCACACCAUACAACAUAGACCCACAACCACUAACAUCAUUCCUGCAAAAGUGAAGGACAGAGCUGUAAUAUUUAAAGAACACUACCUGCAUCUUGAGAAAAGUUGGCCCCUCAGUGAUGGUCUGAUUUCCUACCCAAGAAGUCGCAAACUCAGCCAGAAUACAUGGGUAGAAUCUAUAGCAGCGGAUAAGAUAUGAGUGGGUGAUUGAUGGGAGAGUUGCGGACAAAAUACAGCCAGAAAGGUGUCCACACAAGUGCCAAUGUGCCACCACCCCAAAACACCCACUGCCAUCCUAGCUGAUGUACCACCCACCCAGAGGUGCCAAUUGCCACCAAACUGCCCAAGGACAUUCCUGAAUGAGACAGAGGAUGACAAAAAGUGGAGCGCACCUGAGGUCUUGGUGAAGAAGUAGCCCCAGAAAAAGGUGCCAAGAAUGAUCCCUUGUUCCUCCAAGCUCCAGUCAAAUUCGCCACCACCCUGCUGAUGGAGAAGAUGAAUAGUGCAAUUCAGAAAAAAAUA